rnacentral:rRNA from 1 species
GACAGAGGCCUCAAGCGUUAGGCGGAAUCACUGGGCUUAAAGCGUGUGUAGGCGGAUCGUUAAGUGUCUUGUGAAAUCCCACGGCUCACCCGUGGGAACUGCUGGGCAUACUGGCGAUCUUGGGCCAACUAGGGGCAACUGGAACAAGCGGUGGAGCGGUGAAAUGCGUAGAUAUCGCUUGGAACGCCAAAGGUGAAAACAGGUUGCUGGGGGUU